rnacentral:misc_RNA from 1 species
GGCAGAGUCCUUCGGGACAUUGCACCUGCC